UACGUAGGGUGCAAGCGUUGUCCGGAAUUAUUGGGCGUAAAGAGCUCGUAGGUGGCCUGUCGCGUCGGCUGUGAAAACUCGGGGCUCAACUCCGAGCUUGCAGUCGAUACGGGCAGGCUAGAGUUCGGCAGGGGAGACUGGAAUUCCGUGGUGAGCGGUGAAAUGCGCAGAUAUCAGGAGGAACACCGGUGGCGAAGGCGGGUCUCUGGGCCGAUACUGACACUGAGGAGCGAAAGCGUGGGGAGCGAACAGG
rnacentral:rRNA from 1 species